UACGUAGGGGGCAAGCGUUGUCCGGAUUUAUUGGGCGUAAAGAGCGUGUAGGCGGCUUGACAGGUCUGCUGUGAAAACUCGAGGCUCAACCUCGAGAUGUCGGCGGAAACCGUCUGGCUAGAGUCCGGAAGAGGAGAGUGGAAUUCCUGGUGUAGCGGUGAAAUGCGCAGAUAUCAGGAAGAACACCCGUGGCGAAGGCGGUUCUCUGGGACGGUACUGACGCUGAGACGCGAAAGCGUGGGGAGCAAACAGG
rnacentral:rRNA from 1 species